AAGUGGCCUAAAAGCAGCCACCUUUUAAAAAGCGUUUAAGCUUAACUUCUACAUUUACAUAAUUCCAUUAAUUAUUACUAACCCUUUACUACUACUGAAUUAUUUUAUAAUCAUAUAAAAGUUAUUAUGUUAGAACUAGUAACAAGAAAUUGCUUUUUCUCCAAAAUGUAAGUAUAAGCCAAAACGGACAGACCAUUGGUAAUUAACGUUAUGACAAAAUUAUAGUAACUCAAGACUAGAAUAACCUAUAAAAACCUAGCGUUAACCUUACACCAGAACAUUUCAGGAAAGAUUAAAAGAGAAAGAAGGAACUCGGCAAAUCCUAGCCCCGCCUGUUUACCAAAAACAUCGCCUCUUGAUUAAAUAUAAGAGGUCCAGCCUGCCCAGUGACUUAGUUCAACGGCCGCGGUACCCUGACCGUGCGAAGGUAGCAUAAUCAUUUGUUCUCUAAAUGGGGACUUGUAUCAACGGCAUCACGAGGGCUAUACUGUCUCCUUCCUCUAAUCAGUGAAACUGAUCUCCCCGUGAAGAAGCGGGGAUUAAAAAAUAAGACGAGAAGACCCCAUGGAGCUUUAAACUUAUUAUGCACCUUAAGUUUUAUUAACCACACCAAGCUUUAAAGAUCUGCAUAAUCGCUUUAGGUUGGGGAGACCGCGGAGUAUAAUAAAACCUCCUUGAUAGAUGGGCUAUGCCCUUAUCCAAGAGCUACAUCUCUAAGAAUCAAAAACCUGAUAUUUAAUGACCCGAGUAUUCGAUUAACGAACCAAGUUACCCUGGGGAUAACAGCGCAAUCUACUUCAAGAGCCCCUAUCGUCAAGUAGGUUUACGACCUCGAUGUUGGAUCAGGGUAUCCUAGUGGUGCAGCCGCUAC
rnacentral:rRNA from 1 species